UAAGAAUCGGUUUGAGAAAAAUUACAUUUUCUUUUUAUAACAUCUAAAAAAAUUCUAAAGUCGCCGCGGGGAUGUUCUUUUAACGAUAGACUCGGUUUCGGAAUAUCGUGUAUAUAAUAUACGAAGGAAAAUAAGAAUUUUUUAAAAAUCAUUCGUAAAAUCUUGAAUUAUCAAAUCGAAAUUGUUUUUUAUUUGUCGUUUAGUUAAACUGCUAUUGUUUGCUUCGAGGGAUGAAUUCAUAUCUAUUAAUUUCGAACGUGAUAUUUUUUUGUAGAGUUGUUAUCUAUAGUUAUAUUAAAAUUAAAACAUCGUCUUUCCUAUCAGAUAUGACGUUUUAAUUCUACACGUGAGGUAACUUUGCCCCGAACAUUUCUCUUCAGCAAUCGCGCUAUCAGAACGCAUGGUCCCUUUUUUUAAGCGGCCGCGACGCGGCGGCGUAACCGCGUACAAACAAGGUUAAUAAAGAAAGCGCGGUACAGCGCCGACAAUAAGAUACUGAUAAGCGGAAAACAUGUUACGGCACGGUACAAAUAGAAACCGCUACCGGCAAAAGAAGUCGUAAGCAGUUGCCGCACGUACGCAAUUUUUGCCGCAGCGACAAUGCUUUUUCGCGACUCCGUGGACCCUUUUUGCUCGAACGUCGGCGUCCACACGCGGGAUUUAAAAGCUCCCGUCCGGGCGAUAACGUCGGAAUUUAAUGUCGCAUUCUUGUCGGCAACGCAAGAGGGAAAUCGGUGUCGCGCGUAAAUUUCGAUAAUGACGCUAAACGCUGCGCGUAUCGGCGUGAUUAGCGUUCACGUUCGGCACUUAAGAUCGGCUUAAAGCGCCGGUCUUGGGACUCUUGGGCCAUCGUGCUCCUCUACAAGGGCGACGUAUGUCUGUCAGUAAAUGCGCCCGGUGGUAUUUUAACAGCGGCAAUAAUUUUCGUCGCGUCAUAAAUCAACGCGCGGAUACGAUGUGCGAAGGGCGCGCCCUUCGGGAAUCUUUAAUCUUUUCGCGCGGAGGAUAUGACAGCACAGGAGUGCCGGAUGAGUUUCGGGAUGUGACGCCCGUUUCCCACACGUUUCUAAGAUAAUGUUUCUAAUCAAAUCGUUCCAGUAUUUUCGAGAUUGCGCGAAAUGUGUGCGAAAAAUUUUUUUUUUAUAUUUAUUAUCUAUAUAUAAAUUUUUUACUUUUGUUAUAUCUAUAAAUAUAUAUAAAUUAAAUUGCGUUAUGUAAAAAAAUUUAAACAUGCUUAAAUUUUAAAUAUCUGUCCUGCAAUUAACUCUGGAACGAAUGCGAAUAUGAGAUGUAAACUAUAAUUUAAGUGUAUGAAAUCAUACGUACUGUCUGUGGGGGGGAAAGUAGGGAACUGUAGUUUAGCAUUCCUAAAGGUGUACGUGUCAUAUCGAUUCUGCAGCGGGCAUGUAUAACGGCGGUAGCCUCAGUGAAUUCCUUGCAUGAGUCACGGGGAGUACCAGUACGUCUCCUACUCCACUUAGAGUCAGAUAAUAAUCACGCGAUCGCAUAAACCGCGAAGGUACUUCAUCGCAUAUCUCUUAACGGUGGUCUAUGGUACGUUCGCAUACUCGUGUAUAUACGCUGGAUGAAUGUUUUCCGUCGGAAAGCACGCAUCGUUGCUGAAUCCGUAAUAAAAAUCUGUACAAAAAAGCGAAUGGAGAUUCACAAUUUACUUUUACAUAACAGAUAAUUCUUUCAUAUAAAACUGCAAACGAGGCAAACAAACGAUUAUGAUGUAAUCUAUCAUGUCGUAAUCUCAUUUCUCGCAAGUAAUCCGCGUGAAGCUGCUGUUAAUGAGAAAUUAAAGGGUCUACCUAAUCCCGAUAGAACGAAGUGAAUUCGACGCGGAUUGAUCGCGAAUUUCAAGCGGCAUCGCGACUGUUUCAAUUUAACAUGAAUCGCCAGUCGAUGCGAUUCGCCGCGCCCGUCGCAAUGUGACGGCAAAUCGGUCACGAACCACCACCGUCACCCUCGACGCGCGCGUUAGCAUGGUUGCGUUAGCUCGCUCGUGUGCUAACAAAAUGUCAAAUUAGAGGAGCGUUUACGUGUCGCGCCGGCUAAUGGUUUCCCGACGGGCACGAAAUAAAACGUCGCGCGAGAUAAUUCGACAGCCGUGAACGCACGUGGCCGCAUCGUUAAGAAACACGUCAUCGCGGCGAUAGGCACACGAUGCGCCAACGACAUCGUGGUGCACGGGAAAAGACGAUACAUCAUAAUUCCUGGCUGAACAUCAAAUCAAUCACUUCGCCCGCGCGCGCGCGCGCGCGCGCGCGUGUACGUGCAAAAUAGCACACGAAAAUUCGGGGAAAUAGGGUGCAAACGCGUGGAAUGCGCUCCCUUGAAAAUAAUGUCGGUGAGCCGAUAAAGCAUAACGAGGCAAACCCUAAUCGGCUCCCCUUCCCACUUUUCAAUCCCCGUUUUACGUUUCGCGACGUGUUUUCCAGCCGAGUGCGCACGAAAAAAAUCCACAAAGCGAGCUUGAAAUUGCCUUACCCAAAACUCGACAGUGAGUCAUAUACCAACGCGCGUAAAAACGUUUAUGCGCUUUCUGUACUCACAUACAAAAUAUAUUACACACAUAAGAUAAAUAUGUGACAUAUAAAAUGCACAGUGGAUGUUAAAUUCGUAUAUAAGUAUAAAGAAAUUUUAUUUUCAAAAUAUGAUGUUGAUAAAAUAAGUUUUUGUGAUUUUUCACUUACGAAAAAGGAUGAACAAAUAGGGUGAACAUAUAAUGUAUUUAGUGUGUAUCACAGUAUUGAUAGAAAACCUUUUAGUAUACUCAGAUCUACACACCGCGUUUGAUUAGUAGCCCAAUUUCAAGAUAACUCCGCAUGAUGUGUCUGGAUUAAAUGUAAAUAAAUUAUUGAGUGGA